rnacentral:lncRNA from 1 species
AUAUAUAAGAGUGAAGUCUCCCCCUAUAUCAUUUAAAUGUUGCCAAUUUGACUUUUUGAAUUGCUCCCCCUUUCAUUUAUAAUUCAUUAGCGAUGAAACUUCAAAAAUUUGAGAUAAAAUAUGAGUUUCAGGUUAUGUAUCGGGGUGCGAGAGGUGCGUGCCAAAUUCUGAAAUUAUAUGUGCCAAAUUCUGAAAUUUGAUAGAAAUUUUUGAUUUGAUGAUUUUCAUUGUUACAAAUUGCUCCCCCUUAGAUGUAUAUGCUUUCUUAU